CUUUGGUUUGGGGACUUUUUUGACAUCAGAGUUCUUCCGGACGGAGGUGGCGGUCGAGAUAUUUUUGUAAGAAUGUCUUCAUCUGAGUCAGAUGCUCAAUCGAUAUUCAAGAAAACCAGUAGACAAAAUACUAAAAUCACCCUACUAGUAACAAUUCCGGGGGUUCUACUCAUUGGUUUUAUCUCUACAUGGAUUUGGUAUGCAAGGAGUACAAGGAAUCAUUUGCGAUCUAUGGGGAGAGGGGGUUCGUUUCAUGUCUCUAAAAGCAAGGAAGAAAACUUUCAGCUACCACUGUUACGCUUCUCUAGUAUAGCAACUGCCACUUCAAGCUUUUCAACUGACAAUAUACUUGGAGAAGGUGGAUUUGGGCCAGUUUAUAAGGGUGUGCUAGAAGGGAUAGAGAUUGCAGUUAAGCGUCUCUCCGAGACUUCUAACCAAGGAGUUGAUGAGUUCAAGAAUAAAGUCAUUUGCAUUUCAAGACUACAGCACCGAAAUCUUGUGAAGCUCUUAGGCUGUUGCAUUGAAAAAAACAACAAACUGCUGAUAUAUGAGUACAUGCCAAAUAAAAGCUUAGACUCAUUUAUAUUUGAUGAAGACAAAAGAAAUGCUUCUUGAUUGGACGAAACGCUUCAACAUCAUUAAAGGCAUUACUCGAGGACUUCUCUACUUGCAUCAUGAUUCACGAUUAAAAAUCAUCCAUAGAGAUCUUAAAGCCGGGAACAUUCCCUUAGAUCAAGAUAUGAAUCCUAAGAUUUCUGACUUUGGUCUAGCUAGAAGUUUUCCAGGAAAUGAGACCCAGGCAAACACAAGAAGAGUUGUUGGCACGCAACGAAUUUAGCUUUGGGGUUUUGGUUCUUGAGAUUGUAAGUGGGAAGAGAAAUAGGGGUUUAAUUCAUCAUGGGCAUGACAAUAAUCUUAUAGGACAUGCCUGGAGUAUAUAUAAUGAAGGCAAUCCAAUGGAAUUAGUGGAUGCAAUUUUAUCUGAAUCAAUCCAAGUAGUAUCCAACCAUCCGAAGUUUUAAGAUCAAUCCAAGUAGGACUGUUGUGUGUUCAACAGAAUGCAGGAGACAUGCCAAGCAUGUCGUCUGUAGUUAGGAUCUUGGAUGGUGAGGGUGCAAUGCCAAAACCAAAGCAACCAGCAUUUUUCAUGGGAAGGGUGCAACCCAAGUUUUAAGAUCAAUCCAAUAUGUACAAAUAAUGGUCUAACUAUUACGCAUUUAGAUGCUCAUUAGAAAGCUUAGGGAGCAUUUGGUUUGUAGAAUGUUUCUUUGGAGAAAUGUAAUUUGACGAAGUAAAUAAAAUAUAUCAAGCAUUUGGUAUA